ACUUCCUGAAGUAAAACAUUUUAUUAAGGAAAGGAAAGGAAAUCAACCGAGACUCCGAAAGUAAUGGCGAGUGAAAUCGGA
rfam:Lentinula edodes NBRC 111202 DNA, contig: scaffold1914.